rnacentral:rRNA from 1 species
CAGUCGCCGCGGUAAUACGUAGGUGGCAAGCGUUGUCCGGAAUUAUUGGGCGUAAAGGGCUCGCAGGCGGUUUCUUAAGUCUGAUGUGAAAGCCCCCGGCUCAACCGGGGAGGGUCAUUGGAAACUGGGAAACUUGAGUGCAGAAGAGGAGAGUGGAAUUCCACGUGUAGCGGUGAAAUGCGUAGAGAUAUGGAGGAACACCAGUGGCGAAGGCGCCUCUCUGGUCUGUAACUGACGCUGAGGAGCGAAAGCGUGGGGAGCGAACAGGAUUAGAUACCCCCGUAGUCCCUGUCUCUUAUAC